UACGUAGGUGGCGAGCGUUGUCCGGAUUUAUUGGGCGUAAAGCGCGCGCAGGCGGCCGGAUCAGUCUGCUGUGAAAUCUCCUGGCUCAACCGGGAGGGGCGGCGGAGACUGUCUGGCUGGAGGGACCUAGAGGCCGGUGGAAUUCCCGGUGUAGUGGUGAAAUGCGUAGAGAUCGGGAGGAACACCAGUGGCGAAGGCGGC
rnacentral:rRNA from 1 species